rnacentral:rRNA from 1 species
ACGGAGGGUGCAAGCGUUAUUCGGAAUCAUUGGGCGUAAAGGGCGUGUAGGCGGUUUAUCAAGUCAGAUGUGAAAGCCCGGGGCUCAACCUCGGAAGUGCAUUUGAAACUGGUAGACUUGAGUGCGGGAGAGGAAAGCGGAAUUCCCAGUGUAGAGGUGAAAUUCGUAGAUAUUGGGAGGAACACCGGUGGCGUAGGCGGCUUUCUGGACCGACACUGACGCUGAGGCGCGAAAGCGUGGGGAGCAAACAG